AUGAAUUUUAGGAAACCAAAUUCCACCGGAACGCUACACAAAUACCCCAAUUUACCUCAUCCACCCCAAAUUUGACGGAUCUCUAUGUAUACAUCUUCUCAAAUUUAUCUUUUUUCUCAUCCCCAAUUUCAAUCAUACUCAUCUAUUGAUCUGAUAACCUCUCAAAUCCUUUUCAAAACCUAUCAAUGGCCUUUUUGCGUUGGCUCUAAUCGCAGUCGGAGAAGAAGAUCUGUGUGGAUUGUUUGCUGAAGAAUAGAAUUCGGGGAAGGAGAUCUAUGAUGAUGUUUUUUUUUUUUUUUUUUUUUUUUGGUUUAUCGCAAUUGUUGAAAGAGAUAUAAUAGAGCUCUUGCAGCUUUGAUUCUCCUAUCGUCACAUCAUCUUCGCAAUCGUGACGAUUUCAAGCAGAAUUAAAGAAUUUGAUUUUACCGUUUAUAUAUUGGAUUUAUGGUAUUUGAUUGUUUAAAUUUGAAUUGUGCUAUCACAAAAAUACUCGC
rnacentral:lncRNA from 1 species